UUAUUUCACACUUUUAGAUUUAGUGUUUUACUUUGCAAUUUUUCAUUCUUAGUGUGCCACUUGGAUCCAUUCUGUGUACAUGGAUUACACCUACCUUUGCUUAUGUUACAUAGGUUACCAUGUAUCCCAAAAAGAACAAAGUAAGAUACUCUUGAUGGUAGAGAUCUUAACUUGGUAUUCUUAUCAAAGUUGUAAAAAAAAAAAAAAAAAA
rnacentral:misc_RNA from 1 species